UCAAGAUGUAGAUGAGAAAGCAAACACUACUUUUAUAGAAUCUAUACAGUUCUUUGGUUGAAUAAUGCUUUUUGUCUUCCAUGUGGAAUCCUUCUAAAGUUAGGAGAAUCAAAAUGUGAUAUAUCUCUAAAUAUUUUUCUACAACUAGGGUUUUUUCAAGCCAAUAUUUUAGUGUAUUUUUCUUCCACACCCAUUAAAGGUGAUUCAGCAAGAUCCUUAAUUAUAUUACCAGAUUGCUGACAUGACAGAGAAAAAUAGUUGAAUAUGCAAAUAUUUACAACUCUCAGACUGUGCAGAAAAAAGCAGAUUAGAAAAAAUAUUCAGAAAUACUUCAGGGAAGAAUUUUUGUGAUCAGACCUGGGGAUAUAGUUGGGUGGUAAGGUGCUUGGUCAGCAUUUGUAAGACCUUAAAUUGGAAUAUUAGCACAAGAAAGAAAGAGGAGAAAAGAAAAGGAAAGAAAAAAUCAAACAAGCAAGAGAGAAAAGAUAGAAGGAAAGAAGGAGAGAAAGGUCCCAUUGAACCUUUCCUAGUAAUUAUCUAUCUUUUGCCAUCCUGCCUUUCUUUUUCCCCCCUCUCUUGUGAAGCUGAUUUCUUCAUUGUUUCCUAUUACAUGCAAUUGCAAAUGUUUGACAUGCUUUGUUUUACAUUAACAGUAACACUCACCCAACUAAAUCUCAAUCAAAAUUAGGCCUAUAGUUUUUCUGGGAACUUAGACUGACACAGUGGAUUCAUGAGAAUAUCCUGUUCUACAGUCUCAGUCCGCUGCAUAAUAAAAUAAUACUGCUAAUAGAUCCAUUUCAAUAUUUCCAGAUCAGUACCAUUGUAGUACCUACACACAUGCACAGUCACACACUUCAUUUUGCGUUGAGACAAAGUUGAGUGAAAUCACAACCACAGGAAGCAUUUUGUAAGUCCAAGAGCAUCAUUGGAAAUAGACUAUAAAGCAAAAUGCUGUAAAUGAAGCUAGGGGAAGAUAAAAAGGAAAAAGUUGGGCAGAACUAAAAGAAUAAAAUAGACUGGGAAGAGGAAUGGGUGUUGUGUAUAAGUUCACUCCAGGAGCGCAUCUGUCUCAUUAAUUGUUUUUAAUUAUCUUGUAGAAGAUAAGUUAAUUAUAGAAUCUUUCAAAGUUUCCAUUGUGGCUCAUUUUUUUACUGCUUGGAACUCCUUCCUUUCAAUUUCAAAUAAAAAUUAUUCUUUUUAGUUCCUCCAAAUUACCAAUACUUCAAUUCCAAUCAGUUCGAUUACACAAAACUGACAUUACUAAGAUGAUGUUGACCAUCUUUAGUAAGACUAAGUAAGACAAAUCCCCUAAAGUGUCUGAUACGUUUUUCUUAAUUACGUAUUCCAUUCUUGUCCUAACACACUGCUCCAAUGCCUGAGAGCAGGUGGCCAGGUAGCAACCUAGAGAAAUCAGAAUACAUUGCCUAGAGUAGACUGAACUUCAAUGAACCAGCCUUGCAAGUUGAAUACUAAAACUAUCGUGCAGUAGUCAUGUAUUGCCUCUCUGGUAAUUUUUCUCUUUUCUGUAUCAGCAGGCUCCGAUUCUGAUUGAGGAUGGAUCCAUUUCUUACUCUCUAUAUCUGAAUACACUGUAUGCAUCUCAGGCUCCAGUAAAUACAGCAGAUGUGCGAGCUCAGCUACAGUGAGACUCUUCAUAUCCUUGGUCACAGGAAGCAGAUGGUAACUGGUAGAACGUUGCAGAAUUACAAAGUAAUCUUUAAUCUAAAAAUCAUACAUUGAACAUCCUAUAAGUGGCCUGCCACCACCAGAAGAAAACCUGAAUGGAAUGGAGCCAUCACAGGGCAUCAAAAGCUGGUUGAGAACACUAAGACAGAGCAUUUCCAGAACCAUUCGACUCUUCUUGCAAGUCCGCAGCCUCUAUCCUGAGCCUGUGAUCAGCUGGAAUUCUAGGAAAGAUGGAGCCACAUGAGACAGAGAACAACACAGUUUUUUCUAUCUUCCCCUAACUUUCCAAUUAAAACUUUUUUACUAUGA